UCCCUCCAGAUCCCUUUCCCAUCAGAUCUGAAUACCGGUCUUGUGGUCAAAAAAGGAGGAAAAGGAAAAUUCAAACUGGU
rnacentral:snoRNA from 1 species